UACGUAGGGUGCAAGCGUUAAUCGGAAUUACUGGGCGUAAAGCGUGCGCAGGCGGUUUUGCAAGUCCGAUGUGAAAUCCCCGGGCUUAACCUGGGAAUGGCAUUGGUGACUGCACGGCUAGAGUGUGUCAGAGGGGGGUAGAAUUCCACGUGUAGCAGUGAAAUGCGUAGAGAUGUGGAGGAAUACCGAUGGCGAAGGCAGCCCCCUGGGAUAACACUGACGCUCAUGCGCGAAAGCGUGGGGAGCAAACAGG
rnacentral:rRNA from 1 species